rnacentral:rRNA from 1 species
AGAGUUUGAUCAUGGCUCAGGAUGAACGCUAGCGGGAGGCCUAACACAUGCAAGCCGAGCGGUAUUUGUUCUUCGGAACAGAGAGAGCGGCGUACGGGUGCGGAACACGUGUGCAACCUACCUUUAUCAGGGGGAUAGCCUUUCGAAAGGAAGAUUAAUACCCCAUAAUAUAUUGAUUGGCAUCAAUUAAUAUUGAAAACUCCGGUGGAUAGAGAUGGGCACGCGCAAGAUUAGAUAGUUGGUAGGGUAACGGCCUACCAAGUCAGUGAUCUUUAGGGGGCCUGAGAGGGUGAUCCCCCACACUGGUACUGAGACACGGACCAGACUCCUACGGGAGGCAGCAGUGAGGAAUAUUGGACAAUGGGUGAGAGCCUGAUCCAGCCAUCCCGCGUGAAGGACGACGGUUCUAUGGAUUGUAAACUUCUUUUAUAUAGGGAUAAACCUACUUACGUGUAAGUAGCUGAAGGUACUAUAUGAAUAAGCACCGGCUAACUCCGUGCCAGCAGCCGCGGUAAUACGGAGGGUGCAAGCGUUAUCCGGAUUUAUUGGGUUUAAAGGGUCCGUAGGCGGAUCUGUAAGUCAGUGGUGAAAUCUCAUAGCUUAACUAUGAAACUGCCAUUGAUACUGCAGGUCUUGAGUAAAGUAGAAGUGGCUGGAAUAAGUAGUGUAGCGGUGAAAUGCAUAGAUAUUACUUAGAACACCAAUUGCGAAGGCAGGUCACUAUGUUUUAACUGACGCUGAUGGACGAAAGCGUGGGGAGCGAACAGGAUUAGAUACCCUGGUAGUCCACGCCGUAAACGAUGCUAACUCGUUUUUGGGUUUUCGGAUUCAGAGACUAAGCGAAAGUGAUAAGUUAGCCACCUGGGGAGUACGUUCGCAAGAAUGAAACUC